rnacentral:snoRNA from 1 species
CUGGAAUGAUGAAAGUUAGCCAAAUCGUAUAAUGAUGUGCUCCUCCAGGUGUCAUUUCUGUCUGUGCCCUUGGUGAAAUUUAUUCUUUCCCAAGCACAAGAUGAGAUGACUGGACUGGAGUUGAAGUUUGCAUCAGUAUGUGAUGAUAAAAACUGAGAAUGGUAACUUACUGACCAGA